GGAUAACAUGGUUAUCUUAAACCUUAUAUGACAUUGUAACUUGCUUACAGCUAUCCUUGGAUUUGGGUCAAAAUUAUCUUACCACUAGAAAUAACUGCCAGUGGAGAAAAGUUUGUUAGUUGUAUAGUAUCCAAUGAAGAAUAUUACUAUCUUAAUUUUGCAAUAUACUGCAUUUGCUGGUGCUAUUUUUAUACAGUGAAGCAACAGCCUUGCAGAAGAAUAAAAAAUUUAAUAAUAAAAUUUUUUUUAAAAUUCAGAGAAGGAGGUAACUGCUGGGGAAGGUUCAAGCUUUCAAAACAGGGAUUUUAAAAAAGUGAAAAUGAAGCCAAGAAACUGGCAAGAGAAGAAAUUUCAUUCUCAGAAAGAAAACUCAAGGCCACCUCUGGUGCAACAGUCAUCCUCUCAAACACUUCCACCACACACUCCCCUGGCUGACCUAAAGAGGUCAGUAUCCACAGUAAUACAUCUCGUUGCUACUAUGUACCCUUGAUAGUGUGUGGAGAAAAUGGUAUUUCUGUGGUUUUCCUCCUCAAAACUCAUAAAACUAAGAUAAACAUUUAUUAAUAGGUCUCUCAGUUGGGUCGGACUCUUUGCCACGCCAUGGACUGUAGCCUGCCAGGCUCCUCUGUCCAUGGAAUUCUCCAGGCAAGAAUACUGGAGUGGGUUGCCAUUUCCUUCUCCAGGGGAUUUUCCAGACCCAGAGAUGGAACCUGGGUCUCCUGCAUUGCAGGCAGAUUCUUUACCAUCUGAGCCACCAGGGAAGCCACUUUAAAAAUUCAGAUAAAGAGGUAAACUAGGGACUUCUCUUGUGGUCCAGUGGUUAUGACUCUCCACUUCCACUGCCAAAGGUGUAGGUUCAGUCCCUGGUGGGGGAACCCAUAAGAUCCCACAAGCCAUGUGUGGUACAGAGAAACAAAGAGGCAACCUACAAAAUACCUGAUCAAUACUCCUCAUAGUCAUCACAAACAGGGCAACUCUGAGAAACUAACAGCCAAGAGGAGCCUAAUAAAAUAUGGAAACCAAAUGUAAUAUGGUAUCAUGGAUGGGAUCCUAAAAUAGAAAAAAAUUAGGUAAAAACUAAGGAAAUCUGAGUGAAUGAUAGGCUUUAGUUAGUGUUAUCAAUGCUGGUUCAUUAAUGGUGGUAAACACACAGUACUAAUGUUAAGAUCAUAACAGUAGAAACUGGAUGGGGAGUACAGGACAACUCUGUACUAUCUUCUCAAUUUUUCUGUAAGUCUAAAACUUUUAAAAAAUAAUUUAUACACCUACACCCCUCAACACACAAACACACUUCAUUUUCUACCAGGUCCCAAAUUCUCAGCAUUCAGAACUUGCUCUUUGGUUUUGAACAAAGGCCAGAGAACAGGGCAACUAAUUCCAGAGGAUCAUUUACUUUUUUUUUUUUUCAAUCGCCCACCAGGGAUUGAACCCAGAUCUGGCAGUAAAAGCAAUGAGUGCUAACCACUGGACCUCCAGAGAAUUCCCACCACUGACUGUUAAAAUAUGUAAAUGCAGUGUACAGUAAUAAAACUGGUUGUCCAUAAACACAUGAAACCUUAUCAUCUAAAUGAGUUCCGUCACUUCCAGGUACUCAAGAAGCUUUUAGCCUUGUUUUAAUAAUAUGAACACUGCUCAAAACACUUUGAGAAUCAUCUUCAGAGUCUAUAGCACACACUUCAAUGAAUAUUCAUUAUCUGCAGGUGGAUCUGAUUUAUGCAAAUAGCCAAAAAAACUCAGGCCAACGCUGAUGAGUAAAUGGGGCAGGAAAUCUGGAUCAUAAAUGUGUUUCAGAAUUUUUUUGGAUUUUAAAAUGUAAUAUGGUGCAUAUGCAAUAAAUAAGACAGCAAUCUCAGUGGGGUCUGGGACAGUACCUCAUAAACGAAUGUUUCUGCAAUGAGAGAUGAAUAUUCACAUUGGUAUAAAUGAAAGUGGCAUAAAUGAAACUAUAAAUAACCUUAUGUAUUAAUAAGCUAUUUCACUCUCCUCUUUCACUUUCAAGAGGCUCCUUAGUUCCUCUUUGAUUUCUGCCAUAAGGGUGGUAUCAUCUGCUUAUCUGAGGUUAUUGAUAUUUCUCCCUGUAAUCUUGAUUCCAGCUUGUGCCUCAUUCAGUCCAGCAUUUCACAUGAUGUACUCCACAUGUAAAUUAAAUAAGCAAGAUGACAAUAUACAGCCUUGAUAAGCUAGGAGGUCCGCCACAAAGUAAGUUCAAGUCAGAUUAGGUUUCGUAGUCAAAAGAGAUAUGAAAAUUUUUGGUUUUCAUAACUUUUUUUCAUAACUUUCUUAACUUAGGUAAAAGACUGCAGAUGGUGACUAUCUGAUGAUGAUGCUCCAUUCUAUCCAGUCACCCAAGCUAGAAGCCUGAGAGUUACUCUAAACUCUUCUCUUCCCCCAACCCUUUAGCCAGUCAUCAAGUUCUAUUCAUAUUACCCGAUGAUCUUUUUUUAGUUUUUUUUUUGAAAAAUAAUUACCUAUUUAUUUUUGACUUUUCACUAUGCUGGGUCUUCACUGCUGUAUGGACUUUUCUCCAGUUGCAGUGAACAGGAGAUACGCUCUAGUUGCUGUGUGUAGGCUUCUUGCAGUGGCUUCUCUUGUAAAGCACGGCCUCUAGGCACGGGGGCUUCAGUAGUUGUGGCUCCUGGGCUCUUCAACACAGGCUCAAUAGUUGCAGCACAAGGUUAGUUGCCCUGCAGCACGUGGAUCAGUGAUAGAACCCAUGGUUCCUGCAUUGGCAGGUGGAUUCUCUACCUCUGAGCCACUAGGGAAGCCCUGAUGACUAUCUUUUAAAUCUGUCCUUUCCUCUCCAUCUCCAGCGUCAGUGAUUUAGUCUAGCACCUUGCCAUCUCUCUCAGAGCACUUUUGUUUCCUUCAAGUUGGCCUCUCUGCACUUUUAACUUCCAUAAAACCUUUUCUCCAUACCACUCCUAAAUACAGAUCUGACCAUGUCACUCCCAUGUUACAGUCUUUAUGGUUCCAUGGCAUCUCCUGUGAUACUUUAUGGCCCGUAGUCCUAAUAUCACCUAAAUACAGAUGUAUAGAAACAAAUUUUGGGACUUUCCUGGUGGUCUAGUGGUUAAGAAUCCACCUUGCAAUACCGGGGAUGCAGGUUUGAUGCCUGGUUGAGGAACUAAGAUCCUACAUGCCACAGAGCAGCUUAGCCCAUAAGCCACAACUAGAGAGUUCAUGCCCCAGAAUGAAAGAUCCCCUAUGAUGCAAUGAAGAUCCCGAGUGCUGCAACCAAGACCCAACACAGCCAAAUAAAUAAAAACACAAACAAGGCCAUCCUCUGUGCUCACAGAGCACCUCAUAUGCUUAUCACUUAAAUAAAAGAAACAAAUUUUAACUACAACAGUGCCACUCAAAGUUUGUUGUUAUUUUUGUUGUUCAGUCGCUCAGUCAUAUCCAACUCUUUGUGACCCCCAUGAACUGCAGCACGCCAGGCUUCCCUGUCCUUCAGCAUGUCCUGGAGCUUGUUCAAAUUCAUGACCAUUGAGUCGGUGAUGCCAUCCAACCAUCUUGUCCAAAGUUUGUUACCACUCUG
ensembl:lncRNA